rnacentral:rRNA from 1 species
GCCGGCAGCUAGCUCUCUGCAACUCUCACAUGGUCACCCACUGAAGCUAAGUAGGGCUGCGCCUGGUUAGUAAAGUUACCUGGAUGGGAGACCACAUGGGAAAGUUAGCUUGCUGUCGGAG